CUCCAUCGUUAAGUCAAGGCACCUUCUGCAUUAUGUGCUCCUCACAAUGGAAGGAAGUCUGUUACAACUUUGGUAGAUUGAGUUCAUUCUCGCCGCUCUUGGCCCUCGGGUCUUGAGUAGGCAGCUCACCGUCUUGGAGAGUCUGUCGCAAAGAGUUUGAUAAUGUUUCGUUUGAGUUGAAGUCCACUUCCUCUUUAGCUAGUGGCUUGUGGUGGUUUUCUUAGUAAUGAUUCAUACAUCU
rnacentral:snoRNA from 1 species